rnacentral:lncRNA from 1 species
GUUAUUUAAUUAAAGAGUAAACUUCAAAUACCACUCCUGUGGUUUCGUAUUUUCUCACUUUAGUACCAUGUGGUUUAAAGUGUAUCAAGUUAGUGUCCUGUGGUUUCAUUUUUAUCUUUUUGUCAGCUUUUUCGUUAAUAUUUCGUUAAAUUGUAUAUACAAAACUUCAGAUACCAUAUCUAGGUUUAUCAAAUAUUCACUUUAGUACCUUAAGUUUUAACUUUGUCACUGAUUUAACGAAAAAAAAUUAGUGGAAUCAAUAAUAAAAAAAAUAAGAAUGAAAUCACAGGACACUAAAUUGAUACACUUUAAAUCACAGGAUACUAGAGUGAAAAAGUGUGAAACUACAAGGGUGAUAUUUAAAGUUUUCCCUUAAUUAAAUCCUUUCACCAACUCUUUAUAACCACAUUUGAGAAAAGUCCCACAUGUGCAUCACUUUAACUUAAAUCAAUUAUGUGACAUUUUAAUUAGCAUUUAAUUUCAACAUAAAAAGUCAGAAGCACUUUUCACAAAAGCCUUAUCUAACCUGAAUGGUUGCACGGGAGAUUAGGUUUCAAGUAACAUUGAUGGAGUUUAUGUACAACAAAGUUUAAUAACUAUUAAAUGAAGCGCGUGACAAUCACUACAACAGAAUUAGGUUAUAGGGACACAUGUUUGGGACACUUUUGAGUAAGUGUCCCAUUUAUGCUAAAACUUAAAAAUAUAUCUACUAAUGCCUAAAUAUAAAGCUCAAUCCAACUAAAAAUAAAAGAUUACUCUACUCAACCCACCACACCUGAUCCAUUUGACCUGAUUACAAACAGAAAAGAAAAAAAAAAAAGAAAAAUCAAUUACCAUCUUUUCUUCUCUCUUCACUCAAUCCACUGAAAUUCUAGACGAAGAGCUUUUACUGUCGUCCUCCUUCGCCACCGCAGCCAAUGAGAUAGAGUUUCUUCGGUUGCUAAAUGCUUAAAUAAAUGUUGGUAAAUUAGUAGCACUCUUUUAGGUUAUAGCGACACUCUUUAACUGUCACUAUAUACCUAGCGACCCCACAUAUAGCAACACUUUUUAAAAGUGUCGGUAAUUUUAGCUAGCAGCACUUUUUUGACAUGUACCUACAUUUAAAAGUGUCGCUAUAGACCGUUUUUGUUGUAGUGAAUUUAGUU